rnacentral:rRNA from 1 species
ACUGAGACACGGACCAGACUCCUACGGGAGGCAGCAGUGAGGAAUAUUGGACAAUGGGUGAGAGCCUGAUCCAGCCAUCCCGCGUGAAGGACGACGGCCCUAUGGGUUGUAAACUUCUUUUGUAUAGGGAUAAACCUUUCCACGUGUGGAAAGCUGAAGGUACUAUACGAAUAAGCACCGGCUAACUCCGUGCCAGCAGCCGCGGUAAUACGGAGGGUGCAAGCGUUAUCCGGAUUUAUUGGGUUUAAAGGGUCCGUAGGCGGGCUCGUAAGUCAGUGGUGAAAUCUCAUAGCUUAACUAUGAAACUGCCAUUGAUACUGCGAGCCUUGAGUAAGGUAGAGGUAGCUGGAAUAAGUAGUGUAGCGGUGAAAUGCAUAGAUAUUACUUAGAACACCAAUUGCGAAGGCAGGUUACCAUGUCUUAACUACAGAGUUUGAUCA